GCUGCAACUCGCCUACAUGAAGCUGGAAUUGCUAGUAAUCACAGGUCAGCAUACUGUGGUGAAUACGUUCCCGGGCCUUGUACACACCGCCCGUCACACCAUGAGAGUUGAGAAUACCCGAAGUCCAUGUCAAAGUGGCCGAAGGUAGGCUUGAUGAUUGGGGUGAAGUCGUAACAAGGUACC
rnacentral:rRNA from 1 species